GACGAACGCUGGCGGCGUGCUUAACACAUGCAAGUCGAACGGAAAGGCCCUGCUUUUGUGGGGUGCCCGAGUGGCGAACGGGUGAGUAACAAGUGAGUAACUAGCCCUUGACUUUGGGAUAACUUCCGGAAACUAGGGCUAAUACCGGCUAGGAGCUCCUGCUGCAUGGUGGGGGUGGGAAAGUUUCGGCGGUUGGGGAUGGACUCGCGGCUUGUCAGCUUGUUGGUGGGGUAGUGGCUUACCAAGGCUUUGACGGGUAGCCGGCCUGAGAGGGUGACCGGCCACAUUGGGACUGAGAUACGGCCCAGACGCCUACGGGAGGCAGCAGUGGGGAAUAUUGCACAAUGGGCGGAAGCCUGAUGCAGCGAAGCCGUGUGCGGUAUGACGGCCUUCGGGUUGUAAACCGCUUUCGCCUGUGACGAAGCGGGAUUGACGGUAAUGGGUAAAGAAGCACCGGCUAACUACGUG
rnacentral:rRNA from 1 species